CAUUAUGCAGGGCUGACUUGUAAUGCCUGCUGCUCUGCACUCAUUAAAGGAAAAGCCAGCCCUGACAUGACUGAAGCAGUGUUCAGAGCUCUGAUUCGCUGCUUAGCACACACCUCCUUUCUACAUGGAAUGAUUACUAGUAUUCCAUUCUCUUUUCAAACUGAGCUGUCGUUGGUUCUGCAAGAAUCAUGUUGGUUCCCUGGCUCGCCAGAUGCCCACUGAGAGUAGUUAGGGCACAAUCCACAGUUGCCCACCUCAGGGCUGUCAUAGAGGAUGAGCUUGGAAAAAUCAAGGAGGCUGGGACUUGGAAGUCCGAGAGAAUCAUAACCUCUAAACAGGGUCCCCAUAUUAAAGUGGAAGGACGAAAUAUAGG